rnacentral:lncRNA from 1 species
AGAACUGGAGACAUUAACUGAAGCAAAAGAGAACGAAUAUCUGAGGUCUGUGAAACUUUCUAAAAUAACAAAGACUUCAAAGAAUCUCGAAGAAAGCAUCAAAUCUGAUUCUGAUACAUUGACAGCUUGCAAACUUUCAUCAAAAGAACAAAGCAACCGAAUUUUGACACCCAAAUCUGGAAUUGACCUGACUGCAAACGACAACAGUAAAUAUUUUCAAUCUUUGAAGAUAUAGAACUCCAAUGUUACUAAAAAUAAGGCUGUGAAUGUUAGUAAUGGAAGUAAAACUACCUUUUCUCUUGAUAUAAAAAGAGAGUAUAUCUCAAUUGAUGAGGAUGAUCCAGAAGGCACUAAUGCUUUGCAAGGAUGUUCAAAACACAACUACAAAGAUCAAGACAGGGAUGAUAUUGCUUUUAGCAAGCCUUCUCUAGUGAAGCUAGAGUCUGUGUCUGGCAUAAAGACUGAAACAUCAUUGCAAGGAAAUUGUACUUUGGCUGCGUCUCCUAGAGUUGAUAUUGACAUUGGCAUUGACAUGGCUAACAUUUCAGCUGGUGCUAUGGAUGAAGAUGUAACUUUACAAACCAACAUUAAACAACCCGUGGUGAACAUUACAAAGGAGUUACCAUUAACACUUUCAAAUUCAGGUAUGCUACUAGUUGAGUUUUAAAAACAGAUUUUUUUUAAUUAAAAGUAUAUACUAUUCAUGAUUUACUGAACAAAACUCAAAUGCUGGGCAUUUUCUUCUUUCUCCAUCUUAAUCUCCUGGGAGCAUCUGCAUUUCUAGUGGAUUGCUUGGUCCUGAUGGAACUCAUCGAUACUAGGGUAAAUGGUGCAAACUGAUAGAGACAGUAAUAAUUUACAGUUACCUGGACAGUUAAUUCACCAUGUUACUAGUGGACCCAAAAUAUGGCGUGUAUAUUCUAGAAGGGGCAAGAAGGUAAAAAGUGGCUGAGGUUGUUACCAAUCAUGAGGUGGCAGGGAUGAGGGAGCAGCACUCUUUCCACAAUAUAAGGAGCAGUCAGUUAGAGAGAAAGGGGAUUCGGGGGGAUUGUAGCUAGAAUUGGACAGAAUAGGGUACUCUAGUAUCCUAUAGGAGCUUAGCUCUGGGCCCUACAUUGGGAUUGUUACAUUCUAUUCUCUGUAUUUGCUCACAUUUCAUCAAUAAAGCUCUUUUUCCCUCAUAUAUUUCAUAUCUGUUACUGUUUAAUUGAAUAUUCUACUUUUGGUAUGUAACAAACUGGUCCGACCUGCCGGAUCCUUUUGUCCAGAAACCAGUGAAUGCCCCCAAAGAAGGUUAACCACACUGAGUUCAAGAAAAUGGAAGCAAAGGUGAUUGCGUUGGAAAGCGAGAUGUCAGAGGUGAAAUCGACGUUGUUAGACGUCCAGAACGCGGUGAAAGCUAGCCACGAGAGUCUCAUGGCUAUGUUUGAACGUUGUUUGAACAGAACACUGCAGGAGGAGGAGGGUAGCGCGAGUGGCGCUGCGAAAGAAGGAACACCCAAACCACCACCAAGAACAGACGGCUCUUCCGGAAUCGGGUUUCACAAUCUCAGUAGUGAUGCGUUGACAGAGUUCCGUCAAUCCAUCAAAAAAGUGGAGCUACCAUCCUUCAAUGGCGAAGAUCCGGCCGGAUGGAUUUCGCGCGCUGAAGUAUACUUUCGUGUUCAGGGAACGUUACCGGAGUUGAAGGUGAAUCUCGCUCAGCUAUGUAUGGAGGGAGCGACGAUUCAUUUCUUCAAUUCUCUAAUCGGAGAAGAUGAAGAUCUGUCGUGGGAGAAGUUGAAAGAAUCCUUGUUGUGCCGAUACGGUGGUCACAGCGACGGCGACGUAUAUGAACAGUUGACCGGUUUGAAACAGAAGGGGACGGUGGAAGAAUACAUCACCGAAGUUGAGUACCUAACAGCUCAGAUUCCAAAAUUGCCUGACAAGCAAUUUUUGGGAUAUUUUCUUCAAGGAUUGAAGGCAGAGAUUAGAGGAAGGGUUCGAAGCUUCGUAGCAAUGGGAGAGAUGAGUCGCAGAGACUGUUACAGGUAACGCGGGCAGUAGAGAUGGAGAUUGGUGGUGGAAAUGAGUCGUUUAAUAGUCGAAGUCCCAGAUCUGGAAAAGGGUCACACCGAUCCGGAUUACAUGGAGCAGUUCAAGAAAACUCAGAUUGGGUUUUAGUGAAGAAUAGAGAUGGUGGGUCGAAUGGGGGUGCCAAAAGCAAUUCUGUUGGGCCUAGAGAAGACAAAACAGCCCAUGGUGACAGGAGGAGGAAUGGGCCUCGUGACCGUGGUUUCCAACACUUAUCCUACCAAGAGUUGAUGGAUAGGAAGCAAAAGGGCCUCUGUUUCAAGUGUAAGGGUCCUUUCUCUCCAACACAUCAAUGCCCUGAUAAACAUUUGAGAAUCCUUCUUGUUGACGAAGGUGAUCCGGCGGAGGACGGCGGUCAGAUUCUGGCAGUGGAAGUAAGCGAAGAGGAGAACGACGAGGUAGGAGAGAUGAGCUUGCUUCACUUGGAUCAUAUGGCUAAUCACACCCCUCAAACCAUACGAUUCCAAGGUGAGAUACAAGGGGUUCCCGUGCUCAUUUUAGUAGAUAGUGGCGCCACACACAACUUCAUAUCACAGAAGUUGGUAGGGAAAAUGGAUUGGGUGGUGGAGAGGACUUCACAGUUGCGGAUUAAGUUGGGUGAUGGUUUCCAAACCAUGACUCAAGGAGUUUGUAGGAAGGUGGAAUUAAAGGUUGGAGGUUGGGAAAUUCAAGCAGACAUGCACUUGUUUGAGCUAGGAGGAGUUGAUGUGGUACUUGGGGUGGAAUGGUUGAGGACUUUAGGAGACACCAUUAUGAAUUGGAAGAAGCAGAUGAUGAGUUUUUGGAGUGAUAAGGAGUGGAUCACACUACAAGGCUUAGGGAGCACCAAUGAUUCCAUGGUGGCUCUACAGAGCGUUCUAAGCAAAACUGUGCAUUGGAGAGAAAAGACUCUAUGGAGUGUAGAGAAGCAGGGAAGUGUAGAGCUGGGGUCACAUUUGUCUCCAACACAAAGGGCAAGUGUUGACCAAAUAUUGCAGAAUUAUGCUUCAGUAUUUGUAGAGCCAAAAGGACUUCCACCCAUCAGAAGUAAAGAGCAUGCCAUUACCUUGGUUGAAGGGUCUGGUCCUGUGAAUGUGAGACCCUACCGGUACCCUCAUCACCACAAAGAUGAGAUUGAAAAGCAAGUUAGAGAGAUGUUGUCCACUAGUAUAAUCAGAGAUAGUACCAGCUCCUUCUCAAGUCCUGUGAUCUUGGUGAAAAAGAAAGACAACACGUGGCGGAUGUGCAUUGAUUAUAGAGCCCUCAACAAGGUAACAGUCCCAGAUAAAUUUCCCAUUCCUGUUAUUGAAGAAUUGUUGGAUGAACUACAUGGUGCUAGAUUUUUUUCUAAAUUAGAUUUAAAAUCUGGAUAUCACCAAGUAAGAAUCAAGGAAGAGGAUGUAUACAAGACAGCUUUUCGUACUCAUGAGGGGCAUUAUGAAUUUUUAGUCAUGCCUUUUGGCCUAAUGAAUGCACCCUCGACAUUUCAGAGCCUCAUGAAUGAUGUCUUUAAACCCUUGCUUAGGAAAUGCGUACUAGUUUUCUUUGAUGAUAUACUAGUUUAUAGUGCUGAUUGGGAAGCCCAUUUGGAGCAUUUGCAAACUGUUUUGCAACUGUUAGCAGUACAUGGGUUAGUAGCCAACAAAAAGAAGUGUCAUUUUGCUCAACACACCAUUGAAUACUUGGGCCAUGUCAUAUCCCAAGCUGGUGUAGCAGUGGAUCCUAGCAAGAUUGAAAGUGUGAUUCAAUGGCCAACCCCAAUGAAUGUGAAGGGAGUGAGGGGGUUCUUAGGGUUAACUGGCUACUACAGAAAAUUCAUCAAACAUUAUGGCAAGAUAGCUAAACCAUUGACUGAACUUACCAAGAAGGAUGGGUUCAAGUGGGGAGAAGAGGCUAAGAGAGCUUUUGAAGAGUUGAAGGGGAAGCUUACUACAGCUCCUGUACUAGCUCUACCUGAUUUUAGCAAGGAGUUUGUCAUAGAAUGUGAUGCCUCUGGUAGUGGAGUAGGGGCCAUAUUGAUGCAAGAUAAAAGACCAAUAGCUUAUUUCAGCAAGGUUCUGGGAAUAAGAAAUCUGUCUAAAUCUGCAUAUGAGAAAGAAUUGAUGGCAAUGGGUUUAGCUAUUCAACAUUGGAGACCCUACCUUCUUGGAAGAAAAUUUAUUGUCUCAACUGAUCAAAAAAGUUUAAAGCAGUUGCUACAGCAAAAGAUAACCACUGCAGAACAACAAAACUGGGCUGCCAAGUUGCUUGGAUAUAAUUUUGAAGUUGUUUAUAAGCAGGGCAAAUUGAAUAAGGGGGCUGAUGCACUCUCCAGAAUGCAUGAAGGGAUGGAGUUUCAGAGUAUUACAACAUUUUUACAAUGGGACCAGACACAAAUAAUACAAGAAGAGGUGCAGAAAGAUGACUACUUACAGCAAGUGGUUGCUGAUUUGUUGCAAGACCCAACAGCUAGGCCUGGAUAUGUAUACAAACAAGGAGUAUUGAUGUAUGAAGGCAGACUAGUAAUCUCAAAGCAGUCAGCUAUGAUUCCUAUUUUAUUGAAGGAGUUUCAUAGCACCCCACAUGGAGGACACUCAGGAUUCUACAAGACAUACAGGAGAUUGGCAGCUAAUGUAUACUGGGUGGGAAUGAAGGGAGCAGUGCAAGAAUUUGUGAGGAGCUGUGAUACAUGCCAAAGACAGAAGUACUUAGCUGCAUCACCAGGGGGCUUGUUGCAACCACUGCCCAUACCUGAACGCAUCUGGGAAGAUAUCUCUAUGGAUUUUAUUACUGGCCUGCCAAAAUCUAAGGGAUAUGAAGCUAUUUUUGUGGUGGUAGACAGAUUAACCAAGUACUGUCAUUUCAUUCCUCUAAAACACCCCUACACAGCUAGGAGUUUGGCUGAGGUGUUUAGUAAGGAAAUAGUGAGAUUGCAUGGCAUUCCCUUAUCCAUAGUGAGUGAUAGGGAUCCCAUUUUCAUGAGCAAUUUCUGGAGGGAAUUAUUCAAAGCUCAAGGCACUCAGCUCAAAAUGAGCUCUGCUUACCAUCCUGAAUCAGAUGGUCAAACAGAGGUAGUGAACAGAUGCCUAGAGACCUACCUUAGGUGUUUCAUAUCUGACCAGCCUAAAAGCUGGAUGUCAUGGUUGCAUUGGGCUAAGUACUGGUUUAACACCUCAUUUCACACAUCUACAGAGCAUACUCCUUUUGAAUUGGUAUAUGGCAGGCCUCCACCAGUGAUGGUUCGGUGGGUACAAGGUGAAACAAGAGUUGAAGCAGUGCAAAGGGAUUUGGUAGAUAGGGAUGAGGCAAUCAGGCAGUUAAAAAGUCACUUACACAGAGCACAAGAUAGAAUGAAGGCCCAAGCUGAUAAGCACAGAGUUGACAGAAGUUUUGAAGUAGGGGAGUGGGUCUUUGUGAAGCUCAGAGCUCAUAGGCAAAAUUCUGUGGUUACCAGAAUUAAUGCAAAACUUGCUGCAAGAUAUUAUGGACCAUAUCCGAUUGUGGAGAGGAUUGGAGCUGUAGCUUACAAACUGAAAUUGCCUGUAGGGUCCAAGGUUCACCCCGUGUUUCAUGUAUCCUUAUUAAAGAAGGCUGUAGGACAAUACAAUGAAGGUGAAGAGCUGCCAGAUUUGAUGACAGAAGAGCAAGGUGAGGAAUCUGAACCUGAGGCUUUGCUGGCUGUUAGAAAUAUACAGAAGCAAGGAGAAGUAGUAAAACAGUUACUAGUGCAUUGGAAAGGAAAAACAGUAGACGAAGCUACUUGGGAGGACUAUGUUAUGCUCAAAAGCCAAUUUCCAAAGUUCAACCUUGAGGACAAGGUUGCAGUUGAAGAAGGAAGUAUUGAUAGAGACAGUAAUAAUUUACAGUUACCUGGACAGUUAAUUCACCAUGUUACUAGUGGACCCAAAAUAUGGCGUGUAUAUUCUAGAAGGGGCAAGAAGGUAAAAAGUGGCUGAGGUUGUUACCAAUCAUGAGGUGGCAGGGAUGAGGGAGCAGCACUCUUUCCACAAUAUAAGGAGCAGUCAGUUAGAGAGAGAAAGGGGAUUCGGGGGGAUUGUAGCUAGAAUUGGACAGAAUAGGGUACUCUAGUAUCCUAUAGGAGCUUAGCUCUGGG